ACUCCUACGGGAGGCAGCAGUGAGGAAUAUUGGUCAAUGGACGCAAGUCUGAACCAGCCAUGCCGCGUGCAGGAUGACGGCUCUAUGAGUUGUAAACUGCUUUUGUACGAGGGUAAACCCGGAUACGUGUAUCCGGCUGAAAGUAUCGUACGAAUAAGGAUCGGCUAACUCCGUGCCAGCAGCCGCGGUAAU
rnacentral:rRNA from 1 species